AUUGAACGCUGGCGGCACGCUUUACACAUGCAAGUCGAGCGGUCAAAAUGAGGGGGCUUGCCCCCGAAAGACGAGCGGCGGACGGGUGAGUAACGCAUGGGAAUGCGCCCAGUAGUGGGGGACAACCCUGGGAAACCAGGGCUAAUACCGCAUGUUUUCCACGGAACAAAGCGGGGGACUUCUUCGGAAACCUCGCGCUAUUGGAGCAGCCCAUGUCCGAUUAGCUUGUUGGCGGGGUAACGGCCCACCAAGGCGACGAUCGGUAGCUGGUCUGAGAGGAUGAUCAGCCACACCGGGACUGAGACACGGCCCGGACUCCUACGGGAGGCAGCAGUGGGGAAUAUUGGACAAUGGGGGCAACCCUGAUCCAGCGAUGCCGCGUGAGUGAAGAAGGCCUUCGGGUUGUAAAGCUCUUUCGCAGGGAAAGAAAAAACGCGGGCGAACAGGCCGCGUCCAUGACGGUACCCUGAGAAGAAGCGCCGGCUAACUUCGUGCCAGCAGCCGCGGUAAUACGGGGGGCGCAAGCGUUAAUCGGAAUUACUGGGCGUAAAGCGUGCGUAGGCGGCCGAGCAAGUCAGAUGUGAAAGCCCCGGGCUCAACCCGGGAAUUGCGUCCGAAACUGCCCGGCUAGAGUUCGGCAGAGGAAGGUGGAAUUCCGCGUGUAGCGGUGAAAUGCGUAGAGAUGCGGAAGAACACUAAUGGCGAAGGCAUCCUUCUGGGCCGACACUGACGCUGAGUCACGAAAGCGUGGGGAGCAAACAGGAUUAGAUACCCUGGUAGUCCACGCCCUAAACGAUGCCCGCUAGCUGUCGGGGGGAUUUCCCCCCGGUAGCGAAGCUAACGCGUUAAGCGGGCCG
rnacentral:rRNA from 1 species